AUGGCCGACGACAGGGAGGCCUUCAUGUACGCGUUGCAGCUCUCAUUGGCGGCUAUCGUGCCAAUGACACUCAAGAGCGUGGUGGAGCUGGGCAUGCUAGAGAUCCUUGUCGGCGCCGGUGGGAAGAUGCUGUCGCCAUGGGAGGUGGCCGUGCAGCUGCCGUCGGCUAACCCGUGCGCCCCGGCUAUGCUGGACCGCAUGCUGCGGCUGAUGGCGUCGUACAACAUCGUGUCAUGCGAAGUGCAGCAAGGGAAGGACGGCCUGAUCACCCGCCGGUACGGCGCCGCACCGGUGUGCAAGUGGCUCACCCCUGACAAGGACGGCGCUUCCCUAGGCCCGCUCAUCCUCCUGAACGACAAGAUCCUUAUGGAGACCUGGUAUCAUCUCAAGGACACGGUGCUGGACGGUGGCCAACCCUUCGACAGGGCAUACGGAAUGACGCUGUUCGAUUACCAGGCUGUGGAUCCACGAUUCAACGGCGUGUUUAAUGAGGCCAUGAAAAGCCACUCCACCUUCAUCAUCAGGAACCUCCUCCAGUUCUACAGGGGCUUUGAUGAUGAUGCCGUCAGUACACUUGUCGACGUCGGUGGCGGCCUCGGCGCCACCCUCCACGCCAUCACUUCCAGGUACCCGCACAUCAAGGGGGUAAACUUCGACCUCCCCCACGUCAUCUCCCAAGCUCCUUCUUUCACAGGCGUGCAGCAUGUGAGCGGCGACAUGUUCGACAAGGUGCCCUCUGGGGACGCCAUCCUCAUGAAGGGGAUACUCCAUGACUGGACCGACGAGCACUGCACCAAGCUUCUGAGGAACUGCUACGAUGCACUGCCUGGGCACGGCAAGGUGGUCGUCGUGGACUGCGUCAUGCCGGAGAAACCGGAUGACACGCCCGAGGUGAAGACGAUGUUCAAGCUGGAUAUUCUCAUGCUCAUGCAGACGCCCGGCGGCAAGGAGAGGUGUCUGAAGGAGUUCCAAGAGCUGGCCAGGACCGCCGGUUUUGUCAGCGUCAACGCCACCCACAUCUGCAGCAGCGCCUGGGUCGUUGAGCUGAUGAAGUAA
rnacentral:rRNA from 1 species